AUUGAACGCUGGCGGCAUGCCUUACACAUGCAAGUCGAACGGCAGCACGGGAGCAAUCCUGGUGGCGAGUGGCGAACGGGUGAGUAAAGUAUCGGAACGUGCCCAGUAGUGGGGGAUAACGUAGCGAAAGUUAAGCUAAUACUGCAUACGAUCUAUGGAUGAAAGAGGGGGAUCGCAAGACCUAGAGCGAGUGGAGCGGCCGAUAUCAGAGUAGGUAGUUGGGGGGGUAAAGGCUCACCAAGCCGACGAUCUGUAGCUGGUCUGAUAGGACGACCAGCCACACUGGGACUGAGACACGGCCCAGACUCCUACGGGAGGCAGCAGUGGGGAAUUUUGGACAAUGGGCGCAAGCCUGAUCCAGCCAUGCCGCGUGCAGGAUGAAGGCCUUCGGGUUGUAAACUGCUUUUGUACGGAACGAAAAGGUUUGACUUAAUACGUUGGACUCAUGACGGUACCGUAAGAAUAAGCACCGGCUAANUANGUGCCAGCCGCCGCCGUAA
rnacentral:rRNA from 1 species